rnacentral:rRNA from 1 species
UGGGGAAUAUUGCACAAUGGGCGCAAGCCUGAUGCAGCCAUGCCGCGUGUAUGAAGAAGGCCUUCGGGUUGUAAAGUACUUUCAGUCGGGAGGAAGGUGGUAAGGUUAAUAACCUUAUCAAUUGACGUGACCGACAGAAGAAGCACCGGCUAACUCCGUGCCAGCAGCCGCGGUAAUACGGAGGGUGCAAGCGUUAAUCGGAAUUACUGGGCGUAAAGCGCACGCAGGCGGUUGAUUGAGUCAGAUGUGAAAUCCCCGGGCUUAACCCGGGAAUUGCAUCUGAUACUGGCAAGCUUGAGUCUCGUAGAGGGGGGUAGAAUUCCAGGUGUAGCGGUGAAAUGCGUAGAGAUCUGGAGGAAUACCGGUGGCGAAGGCGGCCCCCUGGACGAAGACUGACGCUCAGGUGCGAAAGCGUGGGGAGCAAACAGG